GAUGAACGCUGGCGGCGUGCAUAACACAUUCAAGUCGAACGGUGAAGGAAGCUUGCUUUCGGAUCAGUGGCGGACGGGUGAGUAACGCGUGAGCAACCUGCCCUGCAUUGGGGGAUAACACAGGGAAACUUGUGCUAAUACCUCAUGACAUAUACUUACCGCAUGUUAGGUAUAUCAAAGAGAAAUCGAUGCAGGAUGGGCUCGCGUUUGAUUAGGUAGUUGGCGGGGUAAGGGCCCACCAAGCCUGCGAUCAUUAGCCGAACUGAGAGGUUGAACGGCCACAUUGGAACUGAGAAACGGUCCAGACUCCUACGGGAGGCAGCAGUGGGGAAUAUUGGGCAAUGGGCGAAAGCCUGACCAAGCGACGCCGCGUGAGGGAAGACGUCUUCGGUUGUAACCUCUUUCAGCAGGAAGAAGACAGUGACGUACCUGCAGAAGAGUCCACGGCUACUACUUGCAGCAGCCGCGGUAAUACUAAGUGGCGAGCGGUAUCCCGAAUACAUGGUGUAAGGGGGGGUAGGCGGGUCGGCAGCCACUGAAAUCAAGCACUGCUGUUGACUGCCAUCUGGUGGAGGUACGGAUCUUGGUUUAUGGUAUGAACGGAGGUUGAUUUCAACGGGAAAUGCCAAGG
rnacentral:rRNA from 1 species